UACGGGGGGGGCAAGCGUUGUUCGGAAUUACUGGGCGUAAAGGGCUCGUAGGUGGCCAACUAAGUCAGACGUGAAAUCCCUCGGCUUAACCGGGGAACUGCGUCUGAUACUGGAUGGCUUGAGUUCGGGAGAGGGGUGCGGAAUUCCAGGUGUAGCGGUGAAAUGCGUAGAUAUCGUAAGGAAGACCAGUGGCGAAGGCGGGUCUCUGGACAGUUCCUGACGCUGAGGCACGAAGGCCAGGGGAGCAAACGGG
rnacentral:rRNA from 1 species